GUCUAUGGCCAUCCUACCCUGAACAAGACUCGUCCUGUUCUGAUCUCGGAAGCUAAGCAGGGUCAGGCCUGGUUAGUACUUGGAUGGAAGACGACCUAGGAAGAUCAGGUGCUGUAGGCA
rnacentral:rRNA from 1 species